GAUGAACGCUGGCGGCGUGCCUAAUACAUGCAAGUCGAGCGAACAGACGAGGAGCUUGCUCCUUCGACGUUAGCGGCGGACGGGUGAGUAACACGUAGGUAACCUACCUAUAAGACUGGGAUAACUUCGGGAAACCGGAGCUAAUACCGGAUAAUAUUUCGAACCGCAUGGUUCGAUAGUGAAAGAUGGCUUUGCUAUCACUUAUAGAUGGACCUGCGCCGUAUUAGCUAGUUGGUAAGGUAACGGCUUACCAAGGCAACGAUACGUAGCCGACCUGAGAGGGUGAUCGGCCACACUGGAACUGAGACACGGUCCAGACUCCUACGGGAGGCAGCAGUAGGGAAUCUUCCGCAAUGGGCGAAAGCCUGACGGAGCAACGCCGCGUGAGUGAUGAAGGUCUUCGGAUCGUAAAACUCUGUUAUUAGGGAAGAACAAACGUGUAAGUAACUGUGCACGUCUUGACAGUACCUAAUCAGAAAGCCACGGCUGACUACGUG
rnacentral:rRNA from 1 species